rnacentral:rRNA from 1 species
AAAGAAACCAACAGGGAUGCCCUAGUAACGGCGAGUGAAGCGGCAACAGCUCAAAUUUGAAAUCUGGCCCUCGGGUCCGAGUUGUAAUUUGUAGAGGAUGCUUUUGGUGAGGUGCCUUCCGAGUUCCCUGGAACGGGACGCCAUAGAGGGUGAGAGCCCCGUCUGGUUGGACACCAAACCUCUGUAAAGCUCCUUCGACGAGUCGAGUAGUUUGGGAAUGCUGCUCUAAAUGGGAGGUAUAUGUCUUCUAAAGCUAAAUACCGGCCAGAGACCGAUAGCGCACAAGUAGAGUGAUCGAAAGAUGAAAAGCACUUUGAAAAGAGAGUUAAAAAGUACGUGAAAUUGUUGAAAGGGAAGCGCUUAUGACCAGACUUGGGCUUGGUUGAUCAUCCUGGGUUCUCCCUGGUGCACUCUUCCAGUUCAGGCCAGCAUCAGUUCGCUGCGGGGGAUAAAAGUUUUGGGAAUGUGGCUCCCUCGGGAGUGUUAUAGCCCAUUGCAUAAUACCCUGCUCCGGACUGAGGUUCGCGCAUCUGCAAGGAUGCUGGCGUAAUGGUCAUCAGCGACCCGUCUUGAAACACGGACCAAGGAGUCGUCUUCGUAUGCGAGUGUUCGGGUGUUAAACCCCUACGCGUAAUGAAAGUGAACGCAGGUGAGAGCUUCGGCGCAUCAUCGACCGAUCCUGAUGUUCUCGGAUGGAUUUGAGUAAGAGCAUACGGGGCCGGACCCGAAAGAAGGUGAACUAUGCCUGUAUAGGGUGAAGCCAGAGGAAACUCUGGUGGAGGCUCGCAGCGGUUCUGACGUGCAAAUCGAUCGUCAAAUAUGGGCAUGGGGCGAAAGACUAAUCGAACCUUCUAGUAGCUGGUUUCCGCCGAAGUUUCCCUCAGGA